UCCCACGUGGCUCAGUUGGUAGAGCAUGGUGUUUGCAACGCCAGGGUUGUGGGUUCGAUUCCCACGGGGGAC
rnacentral:tRNA from 1 species